rnacentral:rRNA from 1 species
AACGAACGCUGGCGGCAUGCCUAACACAUGCAAGUCGAACGAGAUCUUCGGGUCUAGUGGCGCACGGGUGCGUAACGCGUGGGAAUCUGCCCUUUGGUUCGGAAUAACAGUUGGAAACGACUGCUAAUACCGGAUGAUGACGAAAGUCCAAAGAUUUAUCGCCAGAGGAUGAGCCCGAGUAGGAUUAGCUAGUUGGUGUGGUAAAGGCGCACCAAGGCGACGAUCCUUACCUGGUCUGAGAGGAUGAUCAGCCACACUGUGACUGAGACACGGCCCAGACUCCUACGGGAGGCAGCAGUUGGGAAUAUUGGACAAUGGGCGAAAGCCUGGUCCAGCAAUGCCGCGUGAAUGAUGAAGGCCUUAGGGUUGUAAAGCUCUUUUACCCAGGAUGAUAAUGACAGUACCGGGAGAACAAGCUCCGGCUAACUCCGUGCCAGCCGCCGCGGUAA